rnacentral:rRNA from 1 species
AGUGCUCGAAAGAAGAACCUGCACACAGGUGCUGCAUGGCUGUCGUCAGCUCGUGUCGUGAGAUGUUGGGUUAGGUCCCGCCAACGAGCGCAACCCCUACUCCUUAGUUGCCAUCAUUGAGUUGGGGCGACUCUAAAGAAGACUGCCGGUGUCAAACCGGAGGAAGGUGGGGGAGUGACGUCAAGUCCUCAUGGCCGUUUAUUGACCAGGGCGUACACACGUACUACAAUGGCCGGUACAAAGGGCAGCGACACAGCGAUGUGAAGCCAACCCCGAAAAGCCGGUCUCAGUCCGGAUUGGAGUCUGCAACUCGACUCCAUGAAGUUGGAAUCGCUAGUAAUCGCGGAUCAGCACGCCGCGGUGAAUACGUUCCCGGGCCUU